GUGCACCAGGCGCGAAACCUUCGCAAUGCAGGAAACUGCGACGAGGGAACUCCAAGUGCCUACGCUCAGCGUAGGCUGUUCUCAAGCCUAGAAAGCUUGAGGAGUAAGGGCUGGGGUAAGACGGGGUGCCAUCUGUGGUAGCAGUCAAUAGAUUCGAUUUGUUACUGCAAGGCAUAAGCCGCCGCGGUAAUACCCGCAGCCCAAGUGGUGGCCGCUUUUAUGGGCCUAAAGCGUCCGUAGCCGGCCCGGUAAAUGCCUGGGGUAAAUCGGUGGAGCCCAACUUCACGAAUUCCGGGUAGACUGCCGAGCCCGGGACCGGAAGAGGGAGA
rnacentral:rRNA from 1 species